rnacentral:rRNA from 1 species
ACGCACGCUGGCGGCGUGCUUAACACAUGCAAGUCGAACGGAAGGGCCCCUUUGGGGGUACUCGAGUGGCGAACGGGUGAGUAACACGUGAGUAACCUGCCCUUGACUUCGGGAUAACUUCAGGAAACUGGGGCUAAUACCGGAUAGGAAUCCUUGCUGCAUGGUGGGGGUUGGAAAGCUUCGGCGGUUUUGGAUGGACUCGCGGCUUAUCAGCUUGUUGGUGGGGUAGUGGCUUACCAAGGCUUUGACGGGUAGCCGGCCUGAGAGGGCGACCGGCCACAUUGGGACUGAGAUACGGCCCAGACUCCUACGGGAGGCAGCAGUGGGGAAUAUUGCACAAUGGGCGGAAGCCUGAUGCAGCAACGCCGCGUGCGGGAUGACGGCCUUCGGGUUGUAAACCGCUUUCAGCAGGGGCGAAGCUUGUGGUGACGGUACCUGCAGAAGAAGCACCGGCUAACUACGUG